UUUCUCAACUAGUAGGGAGAUACCUUGAUCAUGAAGGAGGUUUUCCCAGGGUGAGGCUCAUCCAUUGCACUGCGGGUGUGGUGACCCCUGCGAUUUCCCCAAAUGUGAGAAACUCGACUGCAUAAUUUGUGGUAGUGCAAAAUAAGUGGCUAUUGAUUUUUA